GCGGCUAUAGUCUAGUGGUUAGGAUCGGAGCUUCCCAAGCUUCUGACCCGGGUUCAAAUCCCGGUAGCCGCA
rnacentral:tRNA from 1 species